rnacentral:rRNA from 1 species
UGGACCUCAGAUCAGGCAAGAUUACCCGCUGAGUUUAAGCAUAUCACUAAGCGGAGGAAAAGAAACUAACUAGGAU